rnacentral:rRNA from 1 species
UACGUAGGGUGCGAGCGUUAAUCGGAAUUACUGGGCGUAAAGCGUGCGCAGGCGGUUCGUUGUGUCGGUGGUGAAAUCCCCGGGCUUAACCUGGGAACGGCAUUUGAAACUGGCAGGCUGGAGUGCGGCAGAGGGGGGUGGAAUUCCACGUGUAGCAGUGAAAUGCGUAGAGAUGUGGAGGAACACCGAUGGCGAAGGCAGCCCCCUGGGCCGACACUGACGCUCAGGCACGAAAGCGUGGGGAGCAAACAGG